rnacentral:rRNA from 1 species
AACGUACGCUGGCGGCACGCCUAACACAUGCAAGUCGAACGAAGUAGCAAUACUUAGUGGCAGACGGGUGAGUAACAUGUAGGUAUCUGCCCUUUGGCCUGGAAUAACACGAGGAAACUUGUGCUAAUACCGGAUAAGUCUUUACGGAGAAAGCUUUAUGCACCAUUGGAUGAGCCUGCACUUGAUUAGUUUGUUGGUGGGGUAAUGGCCUACCAAGACUGUGAUCAAUAGCUGAUUUGAGAGGAUGAUCAGCCACAUUGGGACUGAGACACGGCCCAAACUCCUACGGGAGGCAGCAGUGGGGAAUCUUGCACAAUGGAGGAAACUCUGAUGCAGCGAUGCCGCGUGAGUGAAGAAGGCCCUUGGGUUGUAAAGCUCUUUCGUCGGGGAAGAAAAUGACUGUACCCGAAUAAGAAGGUCCGGCUAACUUCGUGCCAGCAGCCGCGGUAAUACGAAGGGACCUAGCGUAGUUCGGAAUUACUGGGCUUAAAGAGUUCGUAGGUGGUUGAAAAAGUUAGUGGUGAAAUCCCAGAGCUUAACUCUGGAACUGCCAUUAAAACUUUUCAGCUAGAGUAUGAUAGAGGAAAGCAGAAUUUCUAGUGUAGAGGUGAAAUUCGUAGAUAUUAGAAAGAAUACCAAUUGCGAAGGCAGCUUUCUGGAUCAUUACUACACUGAG